rnacentral:miRNA from 1 species
AAAAGUACUUUCUGAUUU